rnacentral:RNase_P_RNA from 1 species
UCAGUCGGCCGGACGGCCGCUCCGGCAGGUGCCGAAAGGCCGCCGGGGAGGAAAGUCCGGGCUCCCUUGACAUACGGUGCCGGAUAACGUCCGGCGGGGGGAACCCCAGGGAAAGUGCCACAGAGAACGAACCGCCCCGCUUCGCCUUCGGCUUCGCGGGGUAAGGGUGAAAAGGUGCGGUAAGAGCGCACCGCGGCUCCGGCAACGGAGCCGGCAUGGUAAACCCCACCGGGAGCAAAACCGAAUAGGGACGGCGUAGCGGGCUGUUCGCGCAAGCGAUAACGCCGCGGGGCGAUGUCAGGCCCGCCGUCCGGGUAGGUUGCUCGAGGCCAUGUGCAAACAUGGUCCCAGAGGAAUGGCCGUCACGUAUCGUUCGCGCAAGCGGACGGUGCCUUACAGAACCCGGCUUACAGGCCGGCUGAUAUU